AUGGGUAAUGUUGGGGUGAACCGAAUUUUUUUGGGUAGAGCUGGAUCUAAGUGUUGGCUAGGUAAACACCCCGUAGUAGGAGGGGUAGUUAUGAACCCUGUUGACAACCCCAUGGGGGCGGUGAAGGGAAAGCUUCCAUUGGUAGAAAAAAAACCACAACCCCUUGGGGUUUUCACCGAGUGA
rnacentral:rRNA from 1 species